rnacentral:rRNA from 1 species
UGAGGAAUAUUGGGCAAUGCCCGCAAGGGUGACCCAGCAACGCCGCGUGGAGGAUGAAUGUCGUAAGAUUGUAAACUCCUGUUAGAGGGGAAGAAUAGUACCGGUUGGACCGGUAUAUGACUGUACCCUCAGAGAAAGCCCCGGCUAACUACGUGCCAGCAGCCGCGGUAAUACGUAGGGGGCAAGCGUUGUCCGGAUUUACUGGGUUUAAAGGGUGCGUAGGUGGGCUUAUAAGUCAGUGGUGAAAUCUCCGAGCUUAACUUGGAAACUGCCGUUGAUACUAUAGGUCUUGAAUUAUCUGGAGGUAAGCGGAAUAUGUCAUGUAGCGGUGAAAUGCUUAGAUAUGACAUAGAACACCUAUUGCGAAGGCAGCUUACUACAUAUAAAUUGACGCUGAGGCACGAAAGCGUGGGGAUCAAACA